GGGUGUGAUCAUAUCAGUGUUAAGGCACCGGAUCCCAUCAGAACUCUAUAGUUAAGCGCGCUUGGGCUAGAGUAGUACUGGGAUGGGUGACCUCCCUGGAAGUCCCAGUGUUGCACCUG
rfam:Picea glauca, whole genome shotgun sequence.